GGAAGGAUCAUUAACGAGUUUUGAAGUGGGUUUGAUGCUGGCCUCGUAAUACAGGCAUGUGCUCGCCCCGCUCAUCCACUCUACACCUGUGCACCUUUGAGGCAUUGCCCUCCAAUUAACUUUGGAGCCGUUCCCCACAGCGAUUCACUUUGCAGUGGGUAGAGCCGGGGCUUUGCCCUCUACCUUUUACACACCCCAUUACAAAGUUUUGUAGAAUGUUACCGCCGCAAGGCAAUAAAUUAAUACAACUUUCAACAACGGAUCUCUUGGCUCUCGCAUCGAUGAAGAACGCAGCGAAAUGCGAUAAGUAAUGUGAAUUGCAGAAUUCAGUGAAUCAUCGAAUCUUUGAACGCACCUUGCGCUCCUUGGUAUUCCGAGGAGCAUGCCUGUUUGAGUGUCAUGAAAUUAUCAACUCCCCACUAGCUUUGCGGCUUGAGGGGGGCUUGGAUUUGGGAGCUUGCUGGCCUAGCGGUCGGCUCUCCUUGAAUGCAUUAGCUGGACUUUCCGACUAGGAAGCGGUUCACGGUGUGAUAAUUAUCUACGCCUGAUAAAUCCGUCUUGUGGUCUGGUCGAGCUUAUAAUCGUCCUCGGACAAUUACUUUAAGAUCUGACCUCAAAUCAGGUAGGACUACCCGCUGAACUUAAGCAUAUCAAUAAGCGGAGGAAAAGAAACUAACAAGGAUUCCCCUAGUAACUGCGAGUGAAGCGGGAAAAGCUCAAAUUUAAAAUCUGGCGGUUCUGCCGUCCGAGUUGUAAUCUGGAGAAGUGUUUUCCGCGCUGGACCGUGUACAAGUCUCUUGGAACAGAGCGUCAUAGAGGGUGAGAAUCCCGUCUUUGACACGGACUACCAGUGCUUUUGUGAUACACUCUCAAAGAGUCGAGUUGUUUGGGAAUGCAGCUCAAAAUGGGUGGUAAAUGCCAUCUAAAGCUAAAUAUUGGCGAGAGACC
rnacentral:rRNA from 1 species